UUGGUCGGCGUAACAUGCAAGACGACGCGUGUGUCGUGCGCUGUCCUCUUUAGGGCUUCUUUUAUUCCCCCCGUGUUUUUACUGCUCGUGCUUUGCGUCACCGGUUUUGCCUCCGUUCGCUUUCGCCGCCUGUUUGCUUCUGCCGGCCGCCGCCGUCCGUUCGUCUUCGCCGGGAGCCGGACCUCGGCCCUCCUUCGUUUCUGUCCGAGGGCGGCGGGCGCACCUGCCUCUUCGCCUUCGUUAGUCGCCGGCGCUCCUCUCGCCUUCGUCGGCCGUCUCCGCCCCAGGGAGGCGGGCCGCCCAGGUCGCCGGCCGCCACCGCCUCUUCGCUGCUGCGGGCCCCCGCCGCCCCUUUUGCCUUCGACGGCUGCCGCUUCCCGAGGCUGCUGGAUUUGGGGAUCUGCGGUUCCAGCCGAUGUUCUUCUCCCGUGCUAGGAUUUGGCGGAGGUAUAAUGACUACUGCUGGAGGGCGUGUUGGGCUCGACGAUCUGGUUGAGGUCGCAUUCUGGAACAAGGCCAACCUGAUCUGCCUUUUCUUUCUGCUCCGCCAAGCUCAUCUUGCCCUUCCAUUUCCUUAACCCUCUUCGCUCUCGGUGGAUGCGGAGGCACGGAGGCUGGUCAGGGUUGCUUCCUCCGCCGAAGUGCGGGGCCGGCGGCUACGUUUGUUCCGCGGUGGUCCGGCUGGUAGGGGAUUUCGUCUGGUCGGGUUGCUCACUCCGGCUGGGAGGGGAUUUCUCCACGUUUUCCUCUCUAGGCGUCCCUCACUCCCCAUCUCCGGCCACAUCCACCGGCAGCGGGCCCUUGGUUGCGCUAUCCACAGGUAUACUACUUAUUCUACCUGCCGGUGAGUCCCUUGCUGAAGACCAAAUUAAACUGGUUGAAACUGCAUUUUUUUGUACUAUCUGUUACUUAAUCAAGCUUGACUGAUCACCUAGACUGUAGAACAAACAAAGGCUGAUUAUCUUGUGGUCAUUAAAAAAUUAAUCUACAAAUCUCUCUCUUAUAGUAAGUAAAUAAAGGGUAAAUAAAAUAUAGUUAUUCAAAAUACGGCACCAUAGAACUUCAGUGCAUUGUUCACUGAUGCUUGGUUAGCAUUAGCAUAGAAAACAUGAUUUCAUGACUGCGGAGGUCACUCCUUCAUAUAGGUUGCCUGCGCAUUGCUCUUGUUCGCAUGACAUUGAUCAGUGACUACAUUGAGUUGAAAAAUAUACUUGAUCAGUGUACUUCCGGAUGCAGGUUGGUCUAUCCUCCCUGACCAAAUUGUUAUUCAUCUGUAAUCCACUUUGUUUAGAGCAGUCUCAGCUAAGUAUAAUGGCUUUGUUUUGUAAGUAACAGAAAGGGAGAAACUUGUAGAUUGUAGAAAACAGAGCAGAUCUAGACGUUUUUAUGUUCCUCUACUUCAGAGUAGGCAUCAGAAGUUCUUACCUGUAUCUUAUGUAUUGUGAUUUGUUUUGCUUGCAUCCUUCCUUCUUUUCCUUUAUGAUUGUAGUUACAAGCUGAAAGAUGCGGAAUUGUGAAUUUAUUUUACUUCAUUUUUCCUAAUGCGGAUAAGAAAAUAUUAUUUUGUCAUUGCUGUAUAUAUUUAGACAGUUUCAGAGAAAGAACAGAAAUAUGGGCUUAUAAAGAAAAGACGGAAGAAAAAUAUUAUUUUGGCAUUUUCUGUAUAUAUUUGAGACAGAAUUUCAGAGAAAGAACAGAAAUAUAGACCUACAAGGAAAAGCCGGAAGAAGAUCUAUCGCCUUCCUAUGCACUUUAGAGAGUAGUUUUAGGGCCUUGAGAAUGUAGGCUAGAUAAGGAAAUGUAACUAUUUCUCAUGGUAGCAAAGUUUCAUUUCUCCCGUUUUCAAGAAAACCGUUAGUACUGUUGUUUGUUGAGGAGAGUUCUUCUUAAAAACUUCGGUUUAUAGAUUCAAUGGACUAUGGAUAGUAUCAUGGUCUUAUUCCCUCUGUUAUAAAGCAUCAAAUGAUCAAGUAUGCUGAGCUCUCCCGUUUCUUGGCGGCCGGUGUGAGCUUCAGAAUUAUUUUUUCUUCCUAAUUUUAGUUCUACAUCUUAAUUGACAUUGACGCCUUUCACACGAUUUACUACCUAUGGAUUUUUGUUGUUUGUUUUUUGUUCCUGUCUGUUGCCAAAAGUAUUCUUGCAACAGAUGUUGCCGACACGUAUGUGGGAUGAUAACUCUCAUGCUAGAAGGCAUGGUUUAUUUAUCCUUUGGUAUGUUCUAGUAGAACAACAGGCAUGAGAGCAACGUCUGCUAGCUAGCUUGGUAAUUGAUUUUUGUUCAGCAUCCGGACAUUGCAAUGUGUUUAUUUUCAUACCAAUCUCUGUCUAUGAUAUUCAGUAAUUUUGUAUCGUAUUGAUUGAGGGAGUGAUCCAGAUUGACCUUCUGUAUUGUCAUCUAACUUCAGAAUGCACCAGUCAUUUCGUACUUGAUUGAAGGAGUUGUACUGAUCCAGAUUGACCUUUUGUAUUGUCAACUUACUUCAAAAUGCAUCCAGCUCAGUGAUUACGUAUCUUACUUUAUGAAGGAAAUAUAUUAACCCAGCAGGAUUUCUGUAAUGUCUCCUUACAUAAGCGAACUGUAAAAAGAAUCUGCUUGAGGAUUAAGUGAGUUUUCCUUUUA